rnacentral:lncRNA from 1 species
UUUAAUUGAUCUUAUUAACUUGUUAAUUUGAUAAAUUAUUAUUUUGGUGUUGUUCUUGACCUUUUGAUUAUUAUAUUGUGUUUUGCUGUUGUUGAUUUAAUAAAUUGUUCAUUGAGUGGAAGAUGAAAACCUGCCAUGAUAAACCUACUCCUGCCAUGUUAAACCUGUCAUGUUAAACCUACUCAAUUCAUUUCAUUCUUG